AACUUCAAUGUGAGUUGGUUAACUUCAAACAGAAGUAGAAUGCAAUGAAUAUUCUAAUUUUGUAAUAAGCUGUAAACAUUUAAAUAUAUUUCUAUUAUCUUGCUUUCAAAGAUUAAGUUUGGCUUAUAACUUAAAAAAGAAAAAAAGUGUUAGAGUAAUCAAACUUGCUUUCAAGGGAAGCACAUAGACUUUAGUUGAUUAAUGGCAGUAAAAGAUUCAACUUCUCAGACAGCAUUGAAUCCUUCCCCUUUCAAGCUCAGGUAUUUACAAGCCUCAUGCAUCAAUAAUGUUAGACAACACACCAUGAGUCAUGCAAAAACAACGGAAUUAACAAACACUUUGUUAGGAUUUUUUGCAACCAGAGCUAAAAAUAAUGCAGGCAGAAAAAAAUAUUUCCUGGGUAAACAAUAACCAGAUAAUCACAACAAGGAAAAAAAAUGAUUAAAAGUUAACUGAAAUAACACCCGAUUUAGCAAGAAAAAGAAAACCUGUAUUUUAAAAUCCUGAUGGGGAAGUUAAAGAGACUGAAACAAAUAAGAUGGUUUUGUUUUAACCUUUUAGUCCAGGUUGUUACGCUCCGAUGUCUUUUUGUAUUUACCAUAGUGCUCUCUGUCCCUUCUCGGUAUUUGUGAAAAGAAAGAAAAGUGGUAACAAAGAAGGAGAGAGGACAGAAGGAUGGGGAACUAAAACAACCUCCACACCAGUGAAGAAGAGAGAAAGAACACAUUGUGUUAUCGAGUAAACAUUAUCAGGUUUACAGGCGUUACUCGGCUACCUGUGGGACGCUUUCUAACAAAGGACUUGAUGAGAUGAGUUGCCUGCUGCCAUCUCAAGGCAAAGUCCUCAACCUGCUCAUCCUCUCUCCUGUGAAAAUGGAGGAUAAUUCAAGUCUACACUUCUUGCAAAGAGUGGCGCUUAGAGUUCUGGGAUUGCAUGACGUCUUGUUUUUUAAACUGUGACACAGCCCUCCCCACUGGAAAGAAAAAAAAAAAAUAGGUGUUUCUCUACUCUGCAUGAGUAAGUAAAGGAUUAUCUUUAAUUU